AAUAAGUUUAUUUUUUAGUUUUUGGAUACAAUGUUUGACUCUGUCUUAUUUAAAAAAAAUUACGAUUAAUAUUUUUAUUGUUAUUAGAUAAUAAAACAUGAAUAAUACUUUAUGUGUGACUAUUUUUUAAAUUUUUUUUAGAAAUUUUUCAAAUAAAAUGAAUGGUCAAACGUUCUACAUAGAAAUC
rnacentral:pre_miRNA from 1 species